rnacentral:rRNA from 1 species
AUUGAACGCUGGCGGCAGGCUUAACACAUGCAAGUCGAACGAGUGGCGGACGGGUGAGUAAUGCUUGGGAAUCUGGCUUAUGGAGGGGGAUAACGACGGGAAACUGUCGCUAAUACCGCGUACCAUAGGAUGAGCCCAAGUGGGAUUAGUUAGUUGGAGGGGUAACGGCCCACCAAGGCGCUGAUCAGUAGCCGGUCUGAGAGGAGGAUCCGCCACACGGGGACUGAGAAACGGCCCAGACUCCUACGGGAGGCAGCAGUGGGGAAUUUUGGACAAUGGGCGCAAGCCUGAUCCAGCCAUGCCGCGGGUCUGAAGAAGGCCUUCGGGUUGUAAAGGACUUUUGUCAGGGAAGCGGUACCUGAAGAAUAAGCACCGGCUAACUACGUGCCAGCAGCCGCGGUAAUAC